rnacentral:lncRNA from 10 species
UACAAUUUCUUCAGCAAGCUCAGCAAAAACUCUUAAGGGGCAAAUAUGAACUCUGCAUUUUAAGAAAAAUAGAAAACGGAAACACAAAAUCCUAAAAAGUAUAUGAAGGCUCUGCAUUAGCACACUGGCAUCAAACCACACAUCCACAGCACAUCCUAAUUCUAUGGGAAACAAUCCUUGCUUAUCGGAGGUGCAUAUCUAAAUUCAAUAGCUUACCAAUAUAUUCUUGGGAGUAGGCCAAAAGGAAACAGAAAACCCACAUUAAAAAAAGAAGUUUCUUUUCCUAAACAUUUUCCUGAAGCUGAAAUUGAAGUGGAGAGGAAGUCAGUUGUCCUCGUCGAAAUCGUAGUCCUCCUCAUCCUCCCCAACCUGGGACACCGGGGUCUUCACCCUGGAGAUGCUGUACUGAGACCUGUUGGAGCUUGUGGCCAGCAUUUCAUCCGCACCAUUGGUCAGGUCACUGGCAGAGAGCCUCGUGCCGUUAGACGUGGAACCUGCCGUUGUGAUGAACACGCCUGCAACAAUUGUCUGCGCCAUUUCUGUCACGUGUGGCUCCAGCGCCUUUGGGACCAGACUUAUGGCUUUUUUUUUUUUUAAGUUCUGGGAUACAUGUGCUGAAUGUGCAGGAUUGUUACAUAGGUAUACAUGUGCCAUGGUGCUUUGCUGCACCUAUCAAACCAUCAUCUAGGUUUUAAGCCCCGUAUGCCUUAAUGCAUUAGAUAUUUGAGAAGACCACUUUAAGUGUAUCGUUAAAUAAAUAGAGCUUAACUUGGAAUGUCGUCUUCUUGUGGCUGGCACUGAGGCAAAGAAAUGUAAUCAUCUAGGAAUUAGACGAAUUGCAUUUUGAGUUUUGGCAGGAUCUGGCAGUAAUUUUAAAGAUAAGCUUUAAAAAGUUUUGUAUUAAGCUCAAUAUUAGCAUUUAAUCCAUUUAUUUGUUAAAAUCUAAUAUUGUAUUCUUGUCUUAAACAGUGACUUUGUUUUUGUAGGCUGCAUCCCAUAUCUAUCAAAAUCAAUUUGUUCAAAUGAUCCUCAAUUCACUUAUUAACAAGUCAAAAUCUUCUAUGUUCCAAGUCAGAACUUUGAGAGAACUGUUAUGGGGCUAUAGGGAUCCAUUUUUGAGUUUGGUUCCGUACCCUGUUACUACCACAGUUGGUCUGUUUUAUCCUUACAACAAUACUGCAGAUGGAGUUUAUAAAGUUUUCAAUGGAAAAGAUAACAUAAGUAAAGUUGCCAUAAUCGACACAUAUAAAGGUAAAAGGUAAGUAUUCUGGUAAAAUGUGCAUGUAUGUUACUAGGGUACUCUUAAGCAGGAAUAGUAUUCAUUUAACAUCUCAUAAGACAUAGGCAUCAACCUAUAGAACAGACCUGGUUAUAAUUCAGCUCUGGAAACUCCUGUUCUGCUAGGUAUUAACUCUUUAGUUGUGGUAACUGGUGAGUUCACACCAGUGCAUAGCUGCUGACUAUCAGCUCCACUUUAAGGUUUGGUUCACCUUUCUGCACAGGUUAUGGUUGUGUUACAUAAAUCCCCAAAGGGACUAUUUUUUCAUCUCUGCUACUUAUCCAGCAUUACAGUAUAAUUAUUCUUACAAUUAGAUAACCA